GAUGAACGCUGGCGGCGUGCCUAAUACAUGCAAGUCGAGCGAAUGGAUUAAGAGCUUGCUCUUAUGAAGUUAGCGGCGGACGGGUGAGUAACACGUGGGUAACCUGCCCAUAAGACUGGGAUAACUCCGGGAAACCGGGGCUAAUACCGGAUAAUAUUUUGAACUGCAUGGUUCAAAAUUGAAAGGCGGCUUCGGCUGUCACUUAUGGCUGGACCCGCGUCGCAUUAGCUAGUUGGUGAGGUAACGGCUCACCAAGGCAACGAUGCGUAGCCGCCCUGGAAGGGUGAUCGGCCACACUGGGACUGAGGCACGGCCCAGACUCCUACGGGAGGCAGCAGUAGGGAAUCUUCCGCAAUGGACGAAAGUCUGACGGAGCAACGCCGCGUGAGUGAUGAAGGCUUUCGGGUCGUAAAACUCUGUUGUUAGGGAAGAACAAGUGCUAGUUGAAUAAGCUGGCACCUUGACGGUACCUAACCAGAAAGCCACGGCUAACUACGUGCCAGCCGCCGCAGUAA
rnacentral:rRNA from 1 species